rnacentral:ncRNA from 2 species
GAAUUAUCAAGAGCGCGGCGAGAUCCCCACCAAAAAAGAAAUUUGAUGGGGGCGCGAGUACCGACUCGAUGACCCGCCGGCAACCGCCAAAAAGUAUUUUGGAAAGGUGCCACCUUCGGCCCGCAAGGGAAAGAUAAUGG